AAUGAAAAUUGAUAGGGAAGAUAAUGCUAAUAAUAAUGGUAAUUCCAUACUCCUAAAAGAAAGAUUACUAGUAUUGGGAUCACCCUUCAUCAAGUGGAUGCUCACCUUCUAAGGAGUGUGUCAAAAACACCCUCGCCCAUGUGAAGUGAUGGAGGGUGCCAUGUGAAGCACUCCAGAGAUAACAGUGGUGACAGCACCAUGUUCUUCAGUGAUGUUGGGCAGUGAUGGAGGGUGCCAUGUGAAGCUCUCCACAGAUAACAGUGGUGACAGCAUCAUGUUCUUCAGUGAUGUUGGGCAGUGAUGGAGGGUGCCAUGUGAAGCUCUCCAGAGAUAACAGUGGUGACAGCACCAUGUUCUUCAGUGAUGUUGGGCAGUGAUGGAGGGUGCCAUGUGAAGCUCUCCACAGAUAACAGUGGUGACAGCACCAUGUUCUUCAGUGAUGGCAGGCAGUGAUGGAGGGUGCCAUGUGAAGCUCUCCACAGAUAACAGUGGUGACAGCAUCAUGUUCUUCAGUGAUGUUGGGCAGUGAUGGAGGGUGCCAUGUGAAGCUCUCCACAGAUAACAGUGGUGACAGCACCAUGUUCUUCAGUGAUGGCGGGCAGUGAUGGAGGGUGCCAUGUGAAGCUCUCCAGAGAUAACAGUGGUGACAGCAUCAUGUUCUUCAGUGAUGUUGGGCAGUGAUGGAGGGUGCCAUGUGAAGCUCUCCAGAGAUAACAGUGGUGACAGCACCAUGUUCUUCAGUGAUGGCAGGCAGUGAUGGAGGGUGCCAUGUGAAGCUCUCCAGAGAUAACAGUGGUGACAGCACCAUGUUCUUCAGUGAUGUUGGGCAGUGAUGGAGGGUGCCAUGUGAAGCUCUCCACAGAUAACAGUGGUGACAGCACCAUGUUCUUCAGUGAUGUUGGGCAGUGAUGGAGGGUGCCAUGUGAAGCUCUCCAGAGAUAACAGUGGUGACAGCACCAUGUUCUUCAGUGAUGUUAGGCAGUGAUGGAGGGUGCCAUGUGAAGCUCUCCAGAGAUAACAGUGGUGACAGCACCAUGUUCUUCAGUGAUGGCAGGCAGUGAUGGAGGGUGCCAUGUGAAGCUCUCCACAGAUAACAGUGGUGACAGCACCAUGUUCUUCAGUGAUGUUGGGCAGUGAUGGAGGGUGCCAUGUGAAGCUCUCCACAGAUAACAGUGGUGACAGCACCAUGUUCUUCAGUGAUGGCGGGGGCCCUCACCAGUCUUCUUCAUUAAGCUUCUGUCUUCCUGCUUCAGGCUGCAAUCAAACAGUUGUUUAGUACCACAUUAAUAUGUUUGGGGCAGAUUGAAUUAUAGCUAACAUAGUAUACUGUUUGAUUGAAUAUUUGAAAGAAUCAAACCUAAACUAACAUACUGUUUGAUUGAAUAUUUGAAAGAAUCAAACCUAAACUAACAUACUGUUUGAUUGAAUAUUUGAAAGAAUCAAACCUAAACUAACAUACUGUUUGAUUGAAUAUUUGAAAGAAUCAAACCUAAACUAACAUACUGUUUGAUUGAAUAUUUGAAAGAAUCAAACCUAAACUAACAUACUGUUUGAUUGAAUAUUUGAAAGAAUCAAACCUAAACUAACAUACUGUUUGAUUGAAUAUUUGAAAGAAUCAAACCUAAACUAACAUACUGUUUGAUUGAAUAUUUGAAAGAAUCAAACCUAAACUAACCAGGUUACCCCAUUCCCAAGCUUGCAGGGUAGGCACUGAAAAAGGUAGAUUGAAAAACAGAACUGUAUUACUAACCUAAAUGAAUGUAUUAUUCUAGUGUUUGUGUUAGAGAUAGGUUUACUGUUCAACAGGAUGAGGUAGGGUUGUUAAGUUUGAAAAUGGCUCUUAAUGAAGCAGUAAUAGGUUACUAUUUUGUCUGUGAUUGUUAAAUUAUUAGCAUGUGUAAAAGCUACAACUGCUAUAUGCUACAUAGUAAUAUUCUAUGUAUCUAUAUAUCUUUCCCUUUGCCCUAAUUAAAGGUUAAAUUCAAUAUCAAUGAAAAAUUUCUGCUCUUAUAAAUUGUCAAAAUGAGUUGUAGCCUAUUCCUAACUGAUCAGAAUUAGUUUGCAUCCUGAGAACACGUGAUUGAUGUAGUAUUUGUUUCAAUAGGCUAGAAAUUUAUCAUUUAAAUCAACACAAGGUUAUGUUAGCCAGUCAUUCAUUACAUGUGUUUUUCUUUAGUUUGAGACAAGGUUAUGUUAGCCAGUCAUUCAUUACACAUGUUUUUCUUUAGUUUGACACAAGGUUAUGUUAGCCAGUCAUUCAUUACACAUGUUUUUCUUUAGUUUGAGACAAGGUUAUGUUAGCCAGUCAUUCAUUACACAUGUUUUUCUUUAGUUUGAGACAAGGUUAUGUUAGCCAGUCAUUCAUUACAUGUGUUUUUCUUUAGUUUGAGACAAGGUUAUGUUAGCCAGUCAUUCAUUACAUGUGUUUUUCUUUAGUUUGAGACAAGGUUAUGUUAGCCAGUCAUUCAUUACAUGUGUUUUUCUUUAGUUUGAGACAAGGUUAUGUUAGCCAGUCAUUCAUUACAUGUGUUUUUCUUUAGUUUGAGACAAGGUUAUGUUAGCCAGUCAUUCAUUACAUAUGUUUUUCUUUAGUUUGAGACAAGGUUAUGUUAGCCAGUCAUUCAUUACAUUCAUUUGAGUAGCUUCCAUAACCUUCUCUCGAUGGACAGAAGUGACAAAACAAAUGACUAACAUAACCUGGUCUCAGUGUUACAAAGGGCAGAGCAAGUUAAUAGUGACAGAAAUAAACAUUACAAAAGAUUUAACAAGCGAAGGGACAGGAGCACGCAUUGCUACAGAUGACACAGUAACCCAAGUGUGAUAGGGAUUGUAAUGUUACGGAAGAUAUGGUGACGUAAGUGACGAGGACCGAGCGUUACAGACAGCGUAGUGACUUAAGCAUGACAGGGAUUGUAGAAAGAUUGUAGAAUGAUUGUAUAAAAAAAGAUACAGUAACUCAGCAGUGACAUAGAUACGUAAUGUUACUGAGGACAUGGUAACUUACGUAUGAUGAGGAUCGUAAUGUUGCAGAUGAACUAACAAUAAUUUAAGUGUCAGAAUUCAUCAUGUUACAAAUGGCAUAUUAAUUUUAGUGGCAUGGAUCAGAAUGUUACAAAAUAUAUACGUAUAUUAAGCGGCACGGAUCGUAAUGUUACAAGAUACAUGGUACCCACACCGAUAUGUAUACGUAAUGUUAAAUGACAUAGUAACUUAAAUUAAAUGGAUAUAUUACGCUAAAAAAGCUUAGUAGCCAAAGUGACAUGUAUACGUAAUGUUACAAAUGGCAUAGUAACAAAUAAAAUGGAUACGUAAUGUUAACAAGACUUACUAACCGCAGUGAAUGAAUGCGUAAUGUUAACAAAACUUAGUAACCAAAGUGACAUAUACAUAAUGUUAGGGAUGACACAGUAACUUAAAUAUAAUGGUUAGUAAUGUUAACAAGACUUAGUAACCAAAGUGACAUAUACGUAAUGUUAGGGAUGACACAGUAACUUAAAUAUAAUGGCUAGUAAUGUUAACAAGACUUAGUAACCAAAGUGACAUAUACAUAAUGUUAGGGAUGACACAGUAACUUAAAUAUAAUGGUUAGUAAUGUUAACAAGACUUAGUAACCAAAGUGACAUAUACGUAAUGUUAGGGAUGACACAGUAACUUAAAUAUAAUGGCUAGUAAUGUUCAUAGCUGGGUGUUAUCGCGAUAAGUUAUCGUGAUACUUUAUCGCUGAUAACAAAAUCGGGUUAUCAGCCAUCCGUUACUUAAUUAUUUAAAUAUAUAUCAGUAUCUUCGUUACUUUUGUAGCCAAACUUGCGAUAAUCGCUACUUUUUUCCGCCUCAGGAAAAAAAAAGUCUCCUCCCUACUGCGCAUGCGUGGCCCGGGUGCCCGGUGUUG